rnacentral:tRNA from 1 species
GGGCCUUAAAAUUGCCUAAAAAACAGACUUUUAAUCAGUGGGUCGCAGGUUCGAAUCCUGCACGGCUCACCA